rnacentral:misc_RNA from 1 species
UUUUAUUUAAUUUUAGGAAAUAAAUUGUAAUUUGCCCAAAAUAAUUUUAAGGCAACCAUUGUGUAAUCAAGGAUUGCUGUUUAUAUCCCAUCAGGUCAAAGAAACUUCUUCCAGACUUGGAUAACUAGAAACUGGUCAGUGGAAUUUUCUCAAAGUCUUUGUCUCCAACACACAAAUAGUGAAAGGAACAAGCUUUAUCUCCGUAAUCCGUGUCCAACACUUCUUCUCUUUCUUCUUUUUAUCCAUGAAUUCUUUUUCGUUCAUAUCCCCAAAUUUGGAAGCUCAUUAGAUUAUACGAGGAGAGGGAUGGCGGCGUUCCUGCAGCCGAUGCAACAGACUCUAUGGGACUCGGUCCUCCAACUCACUAAGUCGGCACAGGAUAAGAACAGUGACCCUCUGCUCUGGGCGAUUCAGCUCAGUUCCAGCCUCAACUCUGCCGGGGUCGUUUUACCGUCUACCGAGUUGGCCCAUCUGUUGGUCUCCUACAUCUGCUUCGAGAAUAGCGUGCCUAUCAUGUGGAAGUUCCUCGAGAAGGCAUUGACCGUCAAGAUCGCCGCUCCCAUGCUUGUCCUCGCUCUUCUCUCUACCAGAGUGGUUCCAAAUCGACAGCUUCACCCGGCUGCAUACAGGCUUUAUAUGGAACUCGUUAAGAGGCAUGCCUUUUCAUUCGCAUCUCAUGUCAGUGGGCCAAAUUAUCCAAAGAUUAUGAAAUCAGUUGAUGAGGUUCUUCAUCUUUCUCAUAUAUUUGGCCUUCAAGUGUUUGAACCAGGGCUGCUUCUGGUUGAAUAUGUCUUUUCAAUGGUGUGGCAGUUGCUUGAUGCAUCA